rnacentral:rRNA from 1 species
AUGCAUUCAGCUGGUCAGUUUUUUCGUAUGAAGCUUGAUGUUUAUGUUGCUUUGGCAACUUUUGUGCUUUGGAACUUGAUGAAUGGUAUCAUUGCACGAUGCACAGUUAUUAGUCUUGUAGGAGCACAAAAGACAACUUUGUAUCCUGAUCAUAUUUUUCUACUUCUGAACUCCACACGGUCCUCUGAACCAUUUAGGAUAGUGUGUUCAGUAUGUCCGAUUGCCAGGAUAUGCCGAAGGUCUGAUUUUGUCCAGUAUAAAUCGAUGGGCAGUUAUAUGUUGAAUUAUAUAUCUGCCAGUGUUUCAGAUGUGAUUGUUAAUAACCACUCUGCUGUCUUUCUUGUGAACUAA